rnacentral:rRNA from 1 species
AGCGAACGCUGGCGGCAGGCUUAACACAUGCAAGUCGAGCGGGCAUCCUUGUGGUGUCAGCGGCAGACGGGUGAGUAACGCGUGGGAACGUGCCCUUCGGUUCGGAAUAACUCGGGGAAACUUGAGCUAAUGCCGGAUACGUGCGAGAGCAGAAAGGUUUAUCUGCCGAAGGAUCGGCCCGCGUCUGAUUAGCUAGUUGGUGAGGUUAUGGCUCACCAAGGCGACGAUCAGUAGCUGGUCUGAGAGGAUGAUCAGCCACACUGGGACUGAGACACGGCCCAGACUCCUACGGGAGGCAGCAGUGGGGAAUAUUGGACAAUGGGGGCAACCCUGAUCCAGCCAUGCCGCGUGAGUGAUGACGGCCUUAGGGUUGUAAAGCUCUUUUCUGCGGGACGAUAAUGACGGUACCGGAGGAAUAAGCCCCGGCUAACUUCGUG